rnacentral:tRNA from 1 species
UGAAAUUAUACUUUAAAUAGAAGAUCUAAUUUGCGUUUAGAAAGUGGGAAACCUAAGUUCAG